GUAGGUGAGUAAACAUCCACGUCCUUGUUUUGUUUGCUUUAUGUUUUGACAGUUAUACUAACGGUAUUAUAGGUGAACCUGCGGAA
rnacentral:rRNA from 1 species